rnacentral:rRNA from 1 species
CGUUCCCGGGGCUUGUACACACCGCCCGUCACACCACGAAAGUGGGCAACACCCGAAGCCGGUGGCCUAACCCUUGUGGAGGGAGCCGUCGAAGGUGGGGCUCGCCGAUUCGGGGUG